AACCAAGCUUCUGACCAUAAAAGGUAUGCUCUCCUCUCUGCCACUUAGCCUCUAUUUUCUCACUUUUACAAAAGGAGGAGGUUGGACUCAACCAACAGAUAAAUGACCUUUGCACUAAGAAUGACAGAACAAAAAUGACAAAUAGAAAUUGAUAUCCAAGAUAAGAAAAGAGAUGGUAAAAGAGCACCUUGCUGUCCUUGAUGAAUUCAGGUCAUCAGGACUACAAACUGAAUAUGAGUCAGCAGAUGAACUAUACCCUCAGGUACUGAAAGAACUGGCAGCCAGUACUUUCAGCCUCCAAGUUGUGUAUCAAAGCAUCAGGAGAACCUGCUGUAUGUAGAUUCCAUCUCUUCCUACCUCUCUUAGAUGAAAGAUUGUCAUCAGUUAGGAAAUAAACCCAGGGCAAGAAGGAGAAAAAGAGAGGACCAUCAGUCUUGGAAUAAUCUACAAUAUGAAGAACUGCUCCUUAAAACAAUUAAAAGAUAGUAAUGUUCCUCUAUUGAGUCUGGCUACUUCAUCCUCCAUCUUCUCUUCCCACAUCCAUGAAGGAACCAUAAAAAACACUGUGUUUGAUUAGUAGACAUAGUCCUGCAAAUGUAUCCUUUCAUAUAGAAUUAAGAUAAGAAGGUCUCCUCAAAAGAACUGAAUGAACUAAAGCGUCUGCCUCGGGCAUUUCCCUCAUGAAACAAUUUUAAGUAAAAUUUCCCUAAAGCCCUAAAUUUAUAGAGUGAUAUUGAUCUCUGGGAUCUUGAAAUAAAUUUGUGAUUUUCCCAAAGCUUGAACUAAAUGAUUCUACAGAACAAGGAAGGAAAUGAGACCCUGUGAACCUCAUUACUUUAGUCUCAUUAAUGGUAGCCUCACAUUCAGAAGCUAGUAUAAUCAAAAUAUGUCCAUUAAGAUUUGGCCACCCAGCCAGAGGAGCAUCUCUUUCAGUUUCUCCACUCCCUCUCUUGAUUGUUUUCCCUGUAAAAUCCUUCAAAGAGACUCUGUUUAUAAAGCUCAUUCUUGGCAGGAGGGUCUUUUGCACUGAGAAGUGCCCAGCCAGAAAAGCAGAUAGGAGGCUGGCCCAAGACCCUGGCCCAGAUAAAGGGUCUGGAAUGGGAGAUCCCAGAACUGCAGAGCAAUGAAACCAACUGUCCUUGGCUUCCUUUCAAAGAAGGUUUGGACCAUGUCAGAGUGUUUGCCUCCAUGUUACUUUCUUCCUUUGGGAAAAAAAGUAAAAUUAAAAAGAAGAUCCCACUAAGAUUUCCAGUGGUGGAAUUAUUUCCAAACUUUGCCUGGGGGCUGCUUUAGACAGGAAUGAAGUGAUUCUGUCUCUGCUGUUCAGUUUAGCUGUUGGUCCUCCCUGCGUAGAUUCUUUCUAUUUCCAGUCAACUCUCAGUUAUUCACAAAGUUAAUGUAAAUGAUAAUUCCAAACAGUAUGUGAUCCAGAAAUUGUUUCAUUUAAAUUUUUUGUUUGUUUGUUUUUACAUCACUUUCAUUUCCAAAUCUUUCCCUCUUCCUUUCUUUACCUGGUAAGCACCAUUGUAACAAAAGCAUAACCCAUCUGAGCUUUGAAGGCAUAUCCCAACACCCAUUCUCAUGAGAGUCAAAUUUCCAGAGGUUGAAAAUAAAUUUAAUCAGCUUUCAGGAGCCUUUAAAAAAGGAGUAUGUUUAUUAUGGUAUGGUAAGAAUAGUUGGUACAAAGCAUUCUCUCCCUCCUUGUUCCCCUCCAACAAAACAUAUGUCAGAUUCUUUUCAAAGUACAUAGAGAGUCCAGGGGAAACUGGGCUGGAAUUUACAGAGCAAAUGUGGCAAAGAGGUCAUUUAUAGCUUCAGCUGGAAGAAGUCCCUCUUAGGUAUGGUGUAGUUUCUUUGUUGGGAUCCUUCGUGGAACUGUGAGUCUGUGUCCAUUCUAUUUCCCAAAGCAGACACUGCCAUCAGUUGAAACAGGGACACUGAUGAGAAGUCUAAAAUCCUUUGGAUCCUUUAAAGCUCUCAAAUUCCUCUUCUGACCAAAGAAAAGUGAAGGGGGGGGACAGGAUAGACACCAAGACCAAAGCCAGAGCAAAGGCCUCUCCAAACAUUUCUUUCUCAAGGCAGUUUAGUUGAAUGCCAUGCUUUCUCUAAUCCUUUGAAUGAAUCCCAUUCUACCUAAUUUGAUCAUGGUAGAGAUGACCCCUGGGGCAUACCUAGGUAACCUCAGACUAUCCAACCACAGGGUGUAAAGGCAGUCCAGUUUGAAGAACUUUUCAUACUUAGUCUAAGGUCUAUGAGUAAAACUGAGAAAUUGACAGAUUUGGGUAUCUUUCAUUUAACCACACUUCACUUAAGCAACAUGGAAUUGGUAAAACAACUACCUCUUCCCUUCCAAAAGAAUAAAAGAAAAGAAAAAUAAUGUGGUAAAACCAAUUAGCUGAGUCUGACAGUAUAUUCAAUGUUUCACAAUCAUAGUUUAGCACUUUUGUAAAGAAGGGAGAGAGGUAUGACUUCUCAUAUCUCAUUCAGUGCCAAACUUAAGCUUAGUCAUUAUAUACAGCAUAGAGUUCCAGAAUUAAUUUCUAUUUGGUUUUAGAGAAUAUUCUAGAAGGAACCAGGUGGUUCAGUAGAUAGAGCACUGGGUCUGAAACCAGAAAGACCUAAAUUCAAAUCUCAACUCAGACACUUACUGUGUGACCUUAGACAAGUCAUUUAACCUCUGUUUAUCUCCGUUUCUUUAACUAUAAAAUGAGAAUCAUACCAAUACUUAUCUUACAGGAUUAUUGUGAGGAUCAAAUAAGAUAAUAUUUAUUUAGCCCAGUGCCUGGCACAAAGUAGGCACUAUAUAAAUGCUUAUUUCCCCUUCUGCCAUUUCUCCUGCUGCUGAGUCACCCUGCUGUUUUUACUGGCCUCAGACUAUGAAAUAUGAGGUUAUAUAAAGGAGAACUAGGGAACAUGGUAGAGAUCUGGGGGAAACUGACUGAAAUUAAUAAAAUGCCAAGAUGACCCACAUGCAAAUAACUAAGAAUUGGCCUAUUUCAAUUUGUUCCAGAGUUGCUUUCAUUCCUAUCCACUUCUGGUUCCUCAUUAUGACCCUGGAUUCUCAAAGGUUCUUCCAGUGGCAAGCAAAAGGCUGGUCCUAACAAGCUGCAAUGGCUUUGCAUGGGACCCAGAAGCAGACAUCAUCUAGACAAACAAGUAUUUUGGGGCAGGAGUUUCAGAUGACCACAUGAGUUCGGGAGAUUGACAAGUCCCUUGAGAAGUCUCAUCAGUAACUAGAAGUGGAGAACAGAAGAAGUAACCAUGGACGGAUGAAGAAAGAGAGUGUGGCACCAACUUCAGGGAAUGAGACCCUUUGUGGUGGUGGAUGGACAUGUAUGGGCUAUCUACCCAUCAGGGAACCAUAACCUGAAGUGAGUAUCAUGAGGAUUCCCAGAGGGAGAAAAGAGCUUCCAGAGGAGGGGUGCCUCCAGGAUUUGUCACCCAUGUGCUUUCCUCCCUUUACACUUGAAAGAGAACCCACACUCCCCAGGGACCUUGUGUUUUCAAAGGGGAAGGUACCUUAGUCUGAGGGAAAUGUUUUAUGUCCACUUCUUUGAUGGUUUUUUAUAAAGUAUACCUUAGUCUAAAAAGUUAAUGGAGUCAAUUUGUUAAUUGUUGGUGAGGAGCACAGAGAGGGCAAGAAAACACACACACACACACACACACACACACAUGUGCAUGCAGAGACUCCAGGGAUGUGGGACACAAGUAGCUGGAGCAAUCAGGACAGGCUUCCUAUAGGAGGUGCUACUUGAGCUGAGGUUUGAAAAAAACUAAGGAUUUUUUUAUAGGUGAAGGAGAUGAGGAAAGGUACUCCAGGCAUGGGCAGCAGCCUAUACAGAACCUGGAGAAGAAGGUGGAAUAGAAUUUAGAGAGAAUAACAAGUAGGCCAUUUUGGCUGAAAAAUAGAGCUCAUAAAGGACUGCAAAGAUAAACUGGAGACUAAAUUUUAAAGACUUUAAAAGCCAACCAAAGCAAUUUGAUUUUUGCAGUAGGAGCAAUACAGAAUUUCUUGAAUGGAAGAUCUAUGUGGCUAGAUGUGUUCAACUAAAGUAAGUACCAUUUUUCCAAAGUUGUUCCCAGACUUGAGUAGCUGCAUAAAAUCUGAUAGCUGGAAGAGAUCUGUAUCAUCUAAUUAUCCUUAUUUUAUGGGGAAAAAAUCUGAAGUCCAGAGAGGAGAAGGGACUUGCCCAAGGUCACAAAGGACAAGAACCAGACUUUAAUUCUCCUUACUUCCCUUGGUGACAGACUAGAGAAUGAAGGAGAGUGUAAAAUCCAACACACUCUAAGACUGUGAUCUGGAGCACUUUAGAGAAUGCCAGUGUCACUGAUAGGACAUAAAAGAGGACUGUCCACAGGCAUGGUGCAAGGCUGACUAUUUCCUGGGGGUAGGAGAACUAAAAAAUAGCCAAUCAUAACUAGGAAUUAUUGCAACUGGAGCAAAUGGGAGUGAUCCCUGACAGUGAUGCUACAGGAGUCAGUCCAAUCAUGUGUAUGGUUGUGGUGGGAGCAGGAGUGGUCCAUUCACCAGAGAGUCUAGACCUGGCCACUAUAUGGGUUGUGGGUGGAUGGAGGUGUUAGAGGGAGGCCUUAGGAGAGGGACAUUUAUGAUUACAGCAUCCUGGAGGGUCCUGCAGUCUGGGUGAAGUUUCUCAACAGGAGAAUGAACCAUCAGGGCAUCAGGAUGAGAUGAAGUGAGAGGAAUUACCACUGAAA